AGCAACCCGACCAAUGUAGCGAAGAAGCACAUAAGUACCUUGCAAUUUCGUCCCAUCAGAGAAUAUAAUAGUGGGAGGCGAAGAAGAGUCGGUGACGAUAGUAGGCGUAGGAAGAACGACGGCAGCAACCUUGGCGGAGGCAAGAACUGAAAGUGGAGGGCUAUCAGCUGCAAAGGACAGCUGUUUAAUCUCCAUUUUCCGAUAACACCUGCACCGUUCAAUGAUCUUCGUA
rnacentral:misc_RNA from 1 species